CCUACGGGGUGCAGCAGUGAGGAAUAUUGGUCAAUGGACGCAAGUCUGAACCAGCCAUGCCGCGUGCAGGAAGACGGCUCUAUGAGUUGUAAACUUCUUUUGUCAAGGGACAAAAUCAGGCUCGAGAGCCUGACCGAGGGUACUUGAAGAAAAAGCAUCGGCUAACUCCGUGCCAGCAGCCGCGGUAAUACGGAGGAUGCGAGCGUUAUCCGGAUUUAUUGGGUUUAAAGGGUGCGUAGGCGGACUGUUAAGUCAGCGGUAAAAGCCCGGGGCUCAACCCCGGCGAGCCGUUGAAACUGGCUGUCUUGAGAUGUCGAGAGGUAUGCGGAAUGCGCAGUGUAGCGGUGAAAUGCUUAGAUAUUGCGCAGAACUCCGAUUGCGAAGGCAGCAUACCGGCGGCGAUCUGACGCUGAGGCACGAAAGCGUGGGUAUCGAACAGGAUUAGAUACCCGUGUAGUC
rnacentral:rRNA from 1 species